rnacentral:rRNA from 1 species
AGAGUUUGAUCCUGGCUCAGAACGAACGCUGGCGGCGUGCCUAACACAUGCAAGUCGAACGCGAAAGGGGGCAACCCCCGGUAGCGUGGCAGACGGGUGAGUAACACGUGGGUAACCUACCCGGAGGUGGGGGAUAACCCUUCGAAAGGAGGGCUAAUACCGCAUGACACCGCGAGGACCUCGGUCCUUGCGAUCAAAGCUGGCCUCUGUUUACAAGCUAGCGCCACCGGAUGGGCCCGCGCCCCAUUAGCUAGUUGGUGAGGUAACGGCUCACCAAGGCGACGAUGGGUAGCCGGCCUGAGAGGGCGAUCGGCCACACUGGAACUGCGACACGGUCCAGACUCCUACGGGAGGCAGCAGUGAGGAAUCUUGCGCAAUGGGCGAAAGCCUGACGCAGCGACGCCGCGUGGAGGAUGAAGGUCUUCGGAUUGUAAACUCCUGUCGAGUGGGACGAAUGCCAUGAGGGUGAACAACCUUCGCGGUUGACGGUACCGCUGGAGGAAGCCCCGGCUAACUCCGUGCCAGCAGCCGCGGUAAU